CAGAGGGGGCAAGCGUUGUUCGGAAUUACUGGGCGUAAAGGGCGCGUAGGCGGCCUGUUAAGUCAGACGUGAAAUCCCUCGGCUCAACCGGGGAACUGCGUCUGAUACUGGCGGGCUUGAAUUCGGGAGAGGGAUGUGGAAUUCCAGGUGUAGCGGUGAAAUGCGUAGAUAUCUGGAGGAACACCGGUGGCGAAGGCGGCAUCCUGGACCGACAUUGACGCUGAGGCGCGAAAGCCAGGGGAGCAAACGGGAUU
rnacentral:rRNA from 1 species